GUGUUCGUUGAAAGGAGAAAUGGUUGCAAUCUCCCCUGACAGGGACAGGAACAGCCUUCGGGCUUUACCUCUUACCAGACACAUCCGGUUAAGGCUACUCACUUAGGUGGAUCUUACCCCGUUAA